rnacentral:rRNA from 1 species
GUAGGUGGCAAGCGUUGUCCGGAAUUAUUGGGCGUAAAGCGCGCGCAGGCGGUUCUUUAAGUCUGAUGUGAAAGCCCAUGGCUCAACCGUGGAGGGUCAUUGGAAACUGGAGAACUUGAGUACAGAAGAGGAAAGCGGAAUUCCACGUGUAGCGGUGAAAUGCGUAGAGAUGUGGAGGAACACCAGUGGCGAAGGCGGCUUUCUGGUCUGUAACUGACGCUGAGGCGCGAAAGCGUGGGGGGAGCAAACAGGAUUAGAUACCCUGGUAGUCCACGCCGUAAACGAUGAGUGCUAAGUGUUAGGGGGUUUCCGCCCCCCCCUUAGUGCUGCAGCUAACGCAUUAAGCACUCCGCCUGGGGAGUACGGCCGCAAGGCUG